rnacentral:rRNA from 1 species
AACGAACGCUGGCGGCAUGCCUAACACAUGCAAGUCGAACGAGACCUUCGGGUCUAGUGGCGCACGGGUGCGUAACGCGUGGGAACCUGCCCUUAGGUUCGGAAUAACUCCCCGAAAGGGGUGCAAAAACCGGAAAAGAUCUUCGGACCAAAAAUUUAUCGCCUUUGGAUGGGCCGGCGUGGGAUUAGCUAGUUGGUAGGGUAAAAGCCUACCAAGGGGAUGGUCCAUAGCUGGUUUGAGAGGAUGAUCGGCAAAACGGGGACGGAGACACGGCCCAGAUUACUAAGGGAGGCAGCAGUGGGGAAGCGGCCUCAAUGGACGAAAGUCCGCCGGAGCAACGCAGAGUCAGUGAUGACGGGCGUAGGGUUGUCAAGCUCUGUUAAUCGGGACGAAAGGCCUUCUUGCGACUAGUGCGAAGGACCGACGGCACCGAAAUAGAAAGCCACGGCUAACUACGU